GCCGGGCGCGGUGGCGCGCGCCUGUAGUCCCAGCUACUCGGGAGGCUGAGGCUGGAGGAUCGCUUGAGCCCAGGAGUUCUGGGCUGCAGUGCGCUAUGCCGAUCGGGUGUCCGCACUAAGUUCGGCAUCAAUAUGGUGACCCUCCGGGAGCGGGGGACCACCAGGUUGCCUAAGGAGGGGUGAACCGGCCCAGGUCGGAAACGGAGCAGGUCAAAACUCCCGUGCUGAUCAGUAGUGGGAUCGCGCCUGUGAAUAGCCACUGUACUCCAGCCUGGGCAACAUAGCGAGACCCCGUCUCUU
ensembl:misc_RNA Metazoa_SRP Metazoan signal recognition particle RNA